rnacentral:tRNA from 1 species
UGAGUCGGUAGCUCAGUUGGUAGAGCAACGGACUUUUAAUCCGUGGGUCGCGGGUUCGAGCCCCGCCCGACUCAU